UCAGCGUCCGCCGUUUGCGCAGGCGGCACAAACACCGGCUGCCCGCGCCGUUAACGAGGCCGAGCAGACACCGGCCACAAGGCCACGAACGCCUGCAACUAGGCAGCAAACGCGCCACCGCCCGGCGAACUCACCGCCCGUGCGAGAGUCGGAGGGUUCCGGUUUGAGGGAAGCGAGCAGAAGGUUGGGGGGGGGGGGGGUGGGGGGGCGCGUGGACAUCGACGGCGUUGCAUCGUGAUGAUCUGCCACCGUUGAAUGUUUACGGAUCGCGAGCCGGCGAGUUGGCGAGGCUUGCGGCAGGCGGCACGGGGCCAUUGGGAGGUCGUGGGGUUCCUGGGCUGCCCGUCACCGAGCUCAUGGUCUGCCGUGUCAAAUGGCUCUGUGCGUUCAUCGGCAAGGCAGUCAGGCGAGGUGCGUGACGUCAUUUAUGGACGGCCCGUUAACCACACUUUCACUCGCGGUACUGAGACGGCACCCGGGUGGAUUGCGCUUGACGUCACGACGGCCCCAUGUGCCAACCGUGGCAUUUGUCCGACGCUGAUUGUGGGUUACUAAUGGGAGCACACAGCACGCAGCCGCCAGUCGCUGUCCAACGCAGCCAACGGAGCAGCUGUCGGGGAGAGAGGACGAAGGCCUCCUACAACCAAGACGAUGUAGUCAGCGGCACCGAGGCACCGGGAAGCAAGCGUCGGGAGAGAGGGAGAAGGGGCAGCUUGGCGGACAGGCCAGAUGGAGGCUCUGCACGCGCGCCGCAUGAACGAAACAGCGUCGCGAAACGAAACAGCGCUAACCGACCGCUCGCGUGUAGUGUAAAGCGGCCCCCGUAGAGUAAUACAGAGUAAAAAAUUAGAACGUUAAAUAUUACAUCUUUUUUUUGGUUUCGCUUACAUCGACUGCGUAUUGCGUCUAGGUAAAGGCGCAGCCCUGCAAUUGCUUGCUCACGUCUCCGCAGGCAGAAUGUGUAAACAGUGCCUCUCGCGGGUAUUUGGCCUAUUCUUCCACAUUGGCCAGACACCUUGUAAGCGGUGGGGGUACCCACCACACAUUAUCCGACCACACGUGACCUGUUGGUGUAUAUGUCUAUGUGGACGGAAGCAAUGGGGCGGGGGGGUGGUGGUGGUGGGAUUUAGGAAACUUGCCCCGUUGUUUC